rnacentral:lncRNA from 1 species
AUGAAAUUUGAACCCCAAAGUGGGAGGGAAGUGGAGGUGGGGGGCACGGCUCUCUCCACAUGGUUAUUACUGCUGUUUUCCACCCAGCUGAAAGGAGAAUGUAGCUUAAUAUGGACCCGCAGGGAGGAGAAGCACUCGGGAGCGGGGAUUUGGCAGGAGGGAGCUGGGAAACAGCGAGAGGAACGUAGAGGUUUACUGACCCAUUUCCAUUCACACGGCUGCCAGUAUCUUAGCAACUGCAACAGUCCCCCAAGAACAGGCAUAUUGCCUGCUAUUAGUGACUGCUGCAACUGUGUCAAGGUUAGCUCUCUCCCUCCAAGCCCUGCCGGGUUUGUUUUUUGCCCAGAGCCAGCGCAGUCUGUUCGGUGACAUGUCCCCCGGCAGCCAUCCUGGGUGCUGGGUGCUCAUCUCUGNGCACAGGGGGUCAGGGAGCAGCAGCCGGGCCAGGGGAGAGGCUGGAGGGGCUUUGUGUGGGCUGCAACCCCCUCAUCUGCUCAAUGGGCCCCAGAGCCGUUCCAGCCCCCGGGCUCUGGGGGUGCAGCACUGACAGAGGGGAUCUGACAGAGACUGCUGGGGGCUCCCCCACCCACCCAGUGCUGCACCCGCUGUGUUUGUUCUUUCCCCACCAAAUCACCCCAUUGCUUUCCCUGCAGACUGGGAGCCUUGUUCUGGGUGUGGGGAUUUCUGUGCAAUGAGCCUUGCUCUGGGUGUGGGGAUUUCUGUGCAAUGACCCUUGUUCUGGGUACGGGGGUGCCCAUCAAAUGAGCCUUGUUCUGGGUGUUGGGGUGCCUGUCCAAUGAGCCUUGUUCUGGGUGUGGGGGUGCCCAUCCCGUGCCGCUGCCCUGUCCCUCCCUGCCCGCCUGCAGCAGGAUUUAUGCCAGAAAUCCCUCCAGCAUCCCUUUGAUCUCCAGCCUGGAGGGGUCAGAGGGCACAGGGAUCCUGCCGAGGGGCAGAGGGACAGGACUGCAGCUGGGGAGGGGGGGUCUGGCACCUGGGACCCCUCCUGGGCAGUGAACCUGGGGACAAGGGGCUGCCCUGCCCAGUGUCUGCCUGCCUGGGUGGGAGGUGCGAGCCUGUGCUCCCCCCAAAGUUGGGCCAUUUCUCUUUAGGCAUCAGCUAAUUGCCCUCUGUGCAAUCAGGGUGCUGGGGGGCGAUCCUUUCCCCAGAUGUGUCCCCCACACCUUCCAGCUGUGCCCGCCUGACACGGGGCCGGGUCCCCAUCAUUUUGGGCGGGUGCUCACGUGGCACCUUGGCUUGCACCCCGGGGUCCAGGCUUGGGGAUCCGGGGCUCCCAGUGUGCCCUGGCAAGGGACACUCAUGGUGCCCCAGGGUGGGGACAGGGGGGCAUUUCCCCCCCAGCAGAUGGCAG